AGUUAUGGCGGGCUGCGUGGGGAGACCUUCGGGUCUGCCGGUUUCUCCUUUGACCGGUUCGCCAACCCUGCGCAGUCCGCCCCCAUC
rnacentral:antisense_RNA from 1 species